GAAGGGACACCAAGGCGUCCGAUAAGAUAAGUCUUAUAAAAUAUAUAGGUUUAUGAUAGUUAAGACUGAGCAAACAGAUGAGAAUCCUAGUCAUUGGACAAGCAGCAUUGAACCUAAUACAAGUUUCUGUGUAUUCAUUUAGGCCUAACUCGGGCAGGCGGCUGGCGUAAAGCUCACACGUGGCAGUGGGGCUCAGGCAGCUUUUGGCAGAAAGAUUUAUCGUAACAUAACAGAUACACAUACACAGCAAAAAAUGAAACUGGACUGGAUCACAUGAUGACUUCUCUCUGCCUACACUUCCCAGAAUCCUCCUUGUCUACUAGUCCCACCUACCAUUCUUCCUCAUUGGCUGAACAGUGCUUUAUUCAUUAACCAAAAAGAGAAACAUAUUUACAGAAUGGCAUCGCCCUUCAGACAGCUGUUACACAAAGAUGAGCAAAGCACACAUGCAAUCACUAUCAGUCAUUACCACUACAUCUAUAUGUCUCAUUUUUAAAGGACUUUCCAAAAUUCUCCAAAGCAAGUUUUAAAGCAUUUUCAGUUAUUUUUGUGUAGGAGUUUAGGAUAAACAUCCAGUUUUAUGCUUCUGGAUUGUGAAUGUCUGGUUCUCCCGGAAUUUAUUGGAGAGACUGUUUUCCAUAUUGGGUGUUCCUUGUACCUUUGUUGAAGAGCAGUUGUCCAUGCAUUCAUUCAUGGACCUAUGCCCAGGCUGCAUUCUUUCUUGUCAAUCUAUCUACCUGUUUUGAUACUUACUUUUUGAAUGAUUGCUGCUUUCUAAUUCACAGGAUGUUGAAUUUAGCUAUUUUGAUACCAACAAGCUUUGUUCCUUCUUUAUAUUGCCUUGGCUGUUUGGAGUCACUUACUAUUCCACAUUAAUUUUAGGGUUGCUUUUUCCUAUUGAAAGUGCCUUUAGAAAUUUGGUAGGACAUGCAUUGAAUCCGCAGAUGGUUCACCUGUUGAUUUUAAUGGCUACAAAAAGCAGCUAUAACCUUCUUAAUUUUAGUACUUACAGCCAAUAUUGACGCAGCCUAGGCCACCAACAUUCCUAAGGGAAAGUUUCUCUCUAAGGACAGAAAGCUAUUCAAACCUUAAAAAAAUUGCCUGGUGUCCUUGGCAGCUGAGAGGUGCCUCACCUUGCCCUGUGAGGCUAUGUAGUCCUGGUUUCCAGAGAGCACAGAAACCAAAGCUGAAACAAUGGAGCCCUCUAAUGUUCUAUGGCUCACAAGCCAGUUGACAUCACCGAACCAUCUGUGGAAACAAUCUGCUUAAUGGGGCUAAAAUGGCAAGUUAUAGCCCCUGGGGGAAAUGGUGCCAUGAAAAAUUAUAUAUUAAAGAUGCAGGCUACCAACAUAAAGAAUACAGUGACAUAAAACUGGAUGGAAAGAAAACCGGAAAGAGCUAAAAAUUAUUUCUUCCUCCAUAAAAAUGCUCCAUUUUCAUCACUGUCCCAGGAAUAAUUGCUGUCUAAGGUGUUGAAAAAUUGUAAAUAUUUCUGGGGAAUCUAACUGAUCCCAUUUAACAAUAAAAUAUCAGACUCUGAGAGGAAUGGAAAAGAAAUGCUCAGUAAUUAACUUAGAGACGUGAAAGAGACUAAGCGCUGAUGAAAACCCAGGUGUAAGAGAAACAAAGUGAGAGACAAGGCUACUCUCAAUCUUUUAAUCAUGCUUGCUUUUCUCCAUUUCCUUCUACUGUGCCUUCUCUGUCUACUCUUCUCUAAACAGUUUUAACUUUAAGAGUCCCCACUGGGCAGAAAUCCUUCCACUUUUACCUGAGUGGCUGGAGCUUUUUGAGCUGCAGAUGUAUUUACAGUUCUGACAGAGAAAGUGAAGGAAGAAAAUCAAGAGGCAUAUUUGCAUUUGCAGUUGAGAAGUCAGCCUGGGAAGGGACACAUGCAAGGAAUAGAAAUGAGGUGGUCAACCACCAACCUGAGUCACUGUCAGAGAGAAAGGAUAGUGUGCUCAAGAACUAUUGGCUCCGACCCAUUGACGCACAUGUCCAUCCUCAUUUAUAUGUAAAUAUAUGCUCAUCUGCCCAUAGAGAGAGAGAUGCAAG
ensembl:lncRNA